CCGGUGUGCCAGUCGCCGCAGCCUGCAGCCAGCUGCUGUUGCCGCCGCCGCUCGGUCGUAGGCAAUGGCUGGAUCUUGGCAGUCACACAAUAGAACAACCGUGAACCUGAGGAAGUGACCGAGUCACUGUGGGAUGCGAGGCAGUGAGAACACUUCAUCGCUGGCUGGAAAGCAUCCCAAGGUGGCUGAGAAGCAGACACACAGACAGCAUAGGAAUGUAAGGUCUGACCACACCAUGAACGGCAUGGUAAUCUCUGUGACCUGCACGAACACCCCAGUUGAGUUCCUGGAAGAACUCCUCAGCAAUCCCAGCAAGACCAAGUUUCAGGCUGGCCUUGAACUCUUGGGCUCAGGUAAUCCUCCUGCCUCAGCCUUCCAAGUAGUUGUGACGAAAGGCACAUGCCACUGCACCCAGAGAUGCCUGGUGCCUCCAUGUCUUCAGCAUUUUUGA
rnacentral:lncRNA from 1 species